rnacentral:siRNA from 1 species
CCCAUAACUCAUUUAACUCUAAA